rnacentral:rRNA from 1 species
CCUACGGGUGGCAGCAGUGAGGAAUAUUGGUCAAUGGACGAGAGUCUGAACCAGCCAAGUAGCGUGAAGGAUGACUGCCCUAUGGGUUGUAAACUUCUUUUAUAUGGAAAUAAAAUGUUCCACGUGUGGGCUUUUGUAUGUACCAUAUGCAUAAGGAUCGGCUAACUCCGUGCCAGCAGCCGCGGUAAUACGGAGGGUCCGAGCGUUAUCCGGAUUUAUUGGGUUUAAAGGGAGCGUAGGUGGAUUGUUAAGUCAGUUGUGAAAGUUUGCGGCUCAACCGUAAAAUUGCAGUUGAAACUGGCAGUCUUGAGUACAGUAGAGGUGGGUGGAAUUCGUGGUGUAGCGGUGAAAUGCUUAGAGAUCACGAAGAACUCCGAUUGCGAAGGCAGCUCACUGGACUGCAACUGACACUGAGGCUCGAAAGUGUGGGUAUCAAACAGGAUUAGAUACCCCAGUAGUC